GCCCGCAGCCACAUCACCCGAAACGCGUCCAAUCUCGUCAGAUCUCAGAAGCUAAGCAAAUUUAGAGUCCGAUCAGUACUCGGAUCGUUGACAACCAACCAGGGCUCUCCAGGUGUUGUAGGCA
rnacentral:rRNA from 1 species